UGGGGAAUAUUGGUCAAUGGACGCAAGUCUGAACCAGCCAUGCCGCGUGGAGGAUGAAGGUCCUCUGGAUUGUAAACUUCUCUUAUCUGGGAAGAAAUGCUCUUUUUCUAAAGGGUUUGACGGUACCAGAUGAAUAAGCACCGGCUAACUCCGUGCCAGCAGCCGCGGUAAUACGGAGGGUGCAAGCGUUAUCCGGAUUCACUGGGUUUAAAGGGUGCGUAGGCGGAAUUGUAAGUCCGUGGUGAAAUCUCCGAGCUUAACUCGGAAACUGCCGUGGAUACUAUAGUUCUUGAAUGUUGUGGAGGUUAGCGGAAUAUGUCAUGUAGCGGUGAAAUGCUUAGAUAUGACAUAGAACACCGAUUGCGAAGGCAGCUGGCUACACAAAUAUUGACGCUGAGGCACGAAAGCGUGGGGAUCAAA
rnacentral:rRNA from 1 species